rnacentral:rRNA from 1 species
AUUGAACGCUGGCGGCAUGCUUUACACAUGCAAGUCGAACGGUAACAGGCCUUCGGGUGCUGACGAGUGGCGAACGGGUGAGUAAUGCAUCGGAACGUGCCCAGAGGUGGGGGAUAACGCAGCGAAAGCUGUGCUAAUACCGCAUGUGAUCUGAGGAUGAAAGCGGGGGACCAGGCAGCAAUGUUUGGCCUCGCGCCUUUGGAGCGGCCGAUGUCAGAUUAGGUAGUUGGUGGGGUAAAGGCCUACCAAGCCGACGAUCUGUAGCUGGUCUGAGAGGACGACCAGCCACACUGGGACUGAGACACGGCCCAGACUCCUACGGGAGGCAGCAGUGGGGAAUUUUGGACAAUGGGCGCAAGCCUGAUCCAGCAAUGCCGCGUGUGGGAAGAAGGCCUUCGGGUUGUAAACCGCUUUUGUACGGAACGAAAAGGCUCUGGCUAAUACCUGGGGCUGAUGACGGUACCGUAAGAAUAAGCACCGGCUAACUACGUG